rnacentral:lncRNA from 1 species
UUUCUGUUUUUUUUUUUUUUUUUUUUCUUGUACAUCAAAAUUAUAUCUUCGGUACCUACACCCCCCACAAGGAUUUGAAGAAAACGUAUUUUGGUAAUUAAUUUAUGUAUAUUACUCUCAGUAUAAACAAGUUUGCAGAGGCAUAAGCUUAUCCUAAGCUUUCCAUUAUUUAUUGUAGUAAACCUUUACCAUUUAUCUUGUUCUUUUAUUACAGCAUUUAAAGCAAAGCAGAGUAUAUACAAGGAGAUAGAAGAUUAAACUAAGAUCAGUGAUCAUCAGCUGUACAUAAAGAAGAAAGAUAUGAAAUAAAAGAAAUUAGAGAAAAGGGGGACAAAUGGAACCCAACACCCACAAAUCAUAUAAGGGGCUGUCUGGUUGUAGAUUCUGUCAUUUGAAUUCAAAGUAUUUACAUUUUUUUUUUCCUUUUUGGGGGGAGCGAUUUCUUCCAUCACAUCUAUCUGCCUUAAGAACAAGCAAAAGGAUCAGGAAGCUUGUUGAUGAAUAGCAGUGUCAGGAAGCAUUGCUAUUGUCACUAUGAAGUAUUCACAUCCUGAAGGGAGACCAUAAGGGUUUGAAGUUGUUGCUGAAGAUGAUGUUGAGAUUACACUUGAUGCCAGAGUUCUCGAGCCCAGGUCUGAGCUGAGAUGACGUGUCUUACCUGCCUCGGUUGAUGCAGAAGCUGAAAGUGCUGAUGGCAGUUUCACUAAUUGGCGCUCGAUGUGGACAAUCUGUCCAACAAUGUAUGUAGGCCGGUUUGGGAGGUGAUCUGUGAACAAUGCCUCGGAUUCAGAGGACAAGUAGUAAUUUGGGCAGUUCCUGUUGAUUGCCUCGUAAUGCCCUGCCUGGUUUAGCACAAAUGCUGCUAUCUCAUGAACUUCAAGACGACCAAAUGAUAUCUUUUCCUUAUUUGCCUGUCACCACAAGAAGUUCACCAAUUUUCUCAUUCAAUACCAAUGACACUCUAAUUUAUAGCAAAUAGAGAAAGAAAGUUUGCUGCAAGAACCAUGACUGAUAGUAGAGAGAACGGGAGUCUACCUGCUUCCCAAGUUGGUGCUUAGUGUACAAUGUUUUCACCAGCUCUUUCUUUUCCUCCAAGUCCUUUCUUGUCUGUUCACUUGUAGCUUCAAGAUUUUGGCACUUUUCCAGUAAUUCCUCCCGGUGUUUGGAGAGGAAGCUAACUUUGUCUGCCAGGACUCGGAUGCAUUUCCGGAACUCAGCAGUACCAUCAUCUUCAUUUUCAUUAACGGAGCUGUGAAAUUCCCAAGUAGGAAAAAUGCGAAUCCAGAGAAACAUUAUUAGAACAUGAGCUUGAAAAGUAAAUAAGUACUGCCAUAUACACAGGAAAGAAAGGACUAAGGUUAUCAUUAUGGGAAGCAGGACAGACGGGAACUUACUUGGCCAAAGCUUGAGCCAAAGUUCGCAAGGAGUCAGCAAAAUCAGCAAUCCCAUUACCAGCACAAACAGAGCUCCGGAAUCUUUCAAAAAGACCUCGCAUCUUUACGGCUGAUGCACGAAGAGCAUUAUACUGCGAAGCUCUACUAUCAGCAGCACAGAGAUGGGUCUGGGCUUCUUCUCUUGCUUCAUGUAAGCAGUUCUCCAAAUGCGCACAGUUCAUCUACAGCCAAAAAAGCAAUAUUGACCACAUCAAAGGGGAAAACUUAGGGGGGAAAAGGUUUCUAUAAUGUGCAACAAGCUAUCUGGUGAAAUCACAGAAUCAUGCUUAUCGUAUCCCCAGAUUUUUAGAUGAAAUGUCUGUCCAAUCACAAACAUAAAAACUGUUCAAAAAUGUAUCGCUAGAGUGUCACAAAAUGAUUGAAACGAGAGAACUCCCAAAAUUUCAAUGAUUGGUGAACCAGGCAUAAACCAAGAUCUCAGGAAAGCACCGAUCUAAAACUCCUGGAACUAGUUGGCAACAACUGGUUUGGGCAUUACGCAAAAUCAUAUUGAACCUUCCUAGUCCAGAUGGUUGAAAUCAAUAAUAAACAUUUAAGUUCACAGGAAAUAGACCUGAUUAUAGCACCUUGGAUACUAAGAAUUAGACAUCAAGGACAAAGCUAAUAACAGCAAUCAAAAGAGUGACAGAUAAUGGUGUAAAGAUAACAUACCAAAAAGUAAAGACUAGCUUUAGACUAACAAUGCAAUGAAUGAUAUCAGAGGAAAGAUAAAAGAAACAACCAAAUAUGAAAUCCGACGAACCUGGGAUUCUUCAAGAAGCUUCUGAUUCGUUUCCAAUUCUCUGCUCAAAUUGGAUACCUCUUCCAUAGCACCAUUUAGCUUGGACUCUAUUUCACUCAGUUUAUUGGACUUUUCCAUCAGCUCAUUUCUAAGUUCCAAGAUAAUAUCAUCACUAUGUUUGGCAUCUAAACCUCUGUCAGUUGCCGCAUUAUCAUCGAAAGAUUUUGGUGGGCUCUCGGCUGUUGAACUAUUACUUAGGAAUACCCCCAUUUCCAACAACACAUUAUCCUUUCCACCUUUCUCGUUGUUUUGCUGGCUUUCCAGCAUAGAUGAGUCAAGCGGACGACUGAGCACCUGAGAGGAAUCAACCAUAUUCUCAUCCAUACCUUCCCGGGUUUUACAUGGCUGCUUGCUAGUAGGAUUUGAAACACAUGAGACCUCAUCCAUGGGUUCAGAACCAGAUACAUGAGUUUUAUUUCCUUCCACGUCACCUGAAGCUUCUACUUUGUAUUCACUAACUUUUGCAUCCAUAAGGUUCAAGCUAGAUGCAUCUUUGUUAUUAUGUCUCUGUCCCUGCAGAUACUCAUCGGAAAGACGUUGUUCUAGUUCACGGAUGCGCUUCUCAUAUGAAUCACAGUGCAUUUGUUUUUCCUUCAGCAUAAUUAGAAGAUGUUUCUCAUACUCAUCUUUGGCCUGCAAUGCCUCUGCUGUCUUCUCUGCGGCAUUUUUCAACACAUUUUCUACUUCACUUUCAUCCAGCAACUCAUAUUCAAAUUGUGGGCCUAAUGAACAGAUCCGAGAUAUUGCAGAAGCAAGGUCAGCUUUUAGUUUUGCAUUCUCAACUUCCAUCUUGCUGGUCCCUGCUAUCUCUAUCAAUUCAGAGGCUGCUAGGAUAUCAUCAAAAUUUUCUUUGUCGAAUGUGUCUAAACCUAUCUCUUCAGGCUCAACAGAAAUCGAGCUAUCACUAGACAUGGUCAGUGAACUCCUUGAGGAUGCAACCUUUGAAUGUAACCCAACAAGAUACUCAGGAGCAUAUCGAUCAACAUCCGUGAUCUCAAUAUUGAGUAAACUAGUAUCAAAAGGAGCGACAUUGACAUCACACUGAGUGGGAGUAUCAAAUAAACCCAUUGAAGCCAAUACAUCACGAGGUACAAAAGAACCAUGUGUUUUAAGAAACUCCUCACGUCUUCUGACCUCUGUUUCCCGCUUCAUAGCAAGCUUCUCUGCCAAUUGCCCAGCCAUACCCAUGUAAAGCUUCAUAGAGGCUUUUCUUCUUACCACCUCUGCGAGACAGGCCCUAUAAGCGGGGCCAACACCACGGACUAACUUCAAGUCUGCAAAUAAGUCAUCCUGGCGCACCAUUGCCUCUCUAAAAACAGGAAACUGCAACUUAGCAUCUUUGAUGAUAUAUGUGACAUACGUUAUCUUUUGCAUGUAACUGUGUACAAAGUUGUUCAUCUCAUUCUUCUUAUUCUUGCAGAAAUUCAGCAAUUCUGAAAUCGAGUUAUAGCAAGAUUGCAUUUUGGGAAGAUGAUUCUUGUCAUGCACUUCGUACAUAGGACCCAGGGCUGAAACAGCAUCGUGGGGACGGAGAGAUGAGGAAAGUUGGCUAGACAUGCAAUCAUCCACAAGUUUCUUAACCGUAUUGACAUCUUUGCUGUUUCAAGAAUUAUAAAUAAAAGAGUCAGAUAACAGCAAUUUUCAAUGUGAAAAAAUGAAAAGGUGUUCUCAGCUAACCAAAAGAACAAACCUGAGAGACUGCAUUAUGCUCUUUUCCUCAUCAAUGAACCGUACGUGAUCCUUAACAGUCACUUCUAAGUUCUUCAUUGAUAAGGAAGCCCUGCAAGCAAACAACUCCUCCACCUUGCGCUUGACUUCUACAAACAUUUGCUGGAACUGUGCAAUCUUAUUCUCAAAUUGCCUGUGAGAGCUAGCACAAUUCUCUACAGCCUUUUUGAGGUUAUCUUCCUUGACAAAGUCCAAUAAGCAUUUCCUUGUAUCAGUUUGAAGAUAAGGGUGAAUCUUAGCUGACCUUAGUUUCUCAAUAUCCCUUCCAAAAUUCAUAAGCAAAUCAGAGUGGAGGCGGUGUUGAUGCUUAUAACGCUUCAUAAAUUCAAGAAAGUUCUGAUAGAUCACCUUGUAAUACUGUUCCAAAUUCCGCGUAGCGACUUCAACAGCCCGUUGUUGUACCUUUUGCUCUCUUGUUAACCUUUCGCAGUUCUCAUGCUUCACAACAGUGCAACUGUAGAUGGUGCGGCCUUUAUGGAAAUGGUACCGAAAUUGCCUUUCAUAUAAAGGUAAAGCCUUCAAAGCUGGAUCUGAUGCAUCAUCCAAGGGAUGAUGUUCAUGUAAUGAAGCCGGAGGUAAAGCGUCAGCAACUUCCUGUAAAUCUACAUCUUCAGGUGGUGGCGGAUGAGAGUUACUUUGCAGCAUAGCCUUGUUAAAAAUAAAGACUUCCCUGUCAUUUGCAGGAAGUCCAAAAGCAGAAAGCAGCUUUUGUGGCUCAAGUUUCAUAUCCAGCGAGAGAAGAAGCUGAUCAGAGAAGCCGAUACCAGAAACAGAUUCAACAAAACGCAUCACAGAUUCAACUGUAGUGGUCUCGCUGCAUUCAAAUUCAAACGAGUGGCCAUUCUCAGCCACGCAGAGAAGAAGCUUGCCAUCGCCGGCGAAACUCUCAGUGAAGCUUCCGCUCAUCGUAACGACCAAAGGACCCCAAAAAUCCUCAACCGCAGAAUCCCCCUAGCCCACAGCCAAAUUAAGACAGGUGACUCACCUAAUCGAAUUAGGAACAGGAAAUAGGCAAAGCAGCGCCAAAUCAAAAGCCCUCCACAACACAAAUCCCCAACCACGAAUCUGUAAAAGAACAAGGCUUUCUCUAUAUCUUCUUCGAUCCUUGACCAAAAUCCAAAUUCAUCAAAAACCCUUGUCGAAUCUCAGCGUUUUCGUAUAUGUAUCACAAAAGACCUUUAAAACCCAGGAGACACACAAAAUCAGAAUCCAGCGUCAGCUCAAAUUCGAUAAUAAUAUUUUUGCACAAGUACCCACCACGAAAAAUCCUCAAAUUCUUCGAAAUUUAAGCCAAAUUCCACCAAAAUCAAAUAUUCAACCAAAUCAAUAUCCCCCUUCUUUCGCCUUGGUACAUACCCAGAAGAAAUUGUUUUUUUUGUUUUUUCUAAAAUAUAAAAAGGAACAAAAAGAGAUAAGCAAACCCUAGAAGACGCAAAAGCAGACGUGAUACGAGAAACGAAGGCGAUUGCGUGAAGAGACGAGUGUCAAAGUCGAAGAAUUAUCCAAAACCAAAAGGAUCAAACUUGUCUUCUCCACGAAAACCUCUUUCCGCCACUAAACUUAUAAACUAAUAAUAUUCUCAAUCUUCUUCUCCUCCUCCUCCUUCUUCUUCCUCUACCACCACUUCUCUCUUCUACAACGAAUUUUCUUAGUUUUUUCUCCCAGUAAAUUUUUGACCUUUUUUUAAUUAACGGAAAGUUACGCAGAAGCUUCUGAUGUAAGUUUACUCUCUUACGCAAGACCAGAGUCGAAGAACCCUUUCGUCCUUGUCCCUCUGUACAAGAAAGACAAGAUAAAGCCCAAAUUUUUAUAAAGCUACUUAUUUUCUCGGGGAGGCGCAGUAACUUUAUAAUUAUUUCAAUUUCACCUCGAUAGUUUGUACAUUAUUUUGUAAACCCUACAUACAUACAAACAUCAUCAAGUCGUCAUAUUUGGGAUUUACCAGAUUUACCAGUUAUAAUGAGUUCGAUUAAUCUACUUCGAUUCUAUUUUAGUCAACGUUCGCUUUGGUUUUUUUUUUUUUUUUGAAGCUUUAACAUACUAAAAACCGGAUCGAUUUGGUUUGGUUUAAACCAACAAACAAAUUCGAUUUCUUUAGAUACCAAUAACCAAAUCAGCAUAAGUUAACUAUUUUAUACUCAUUCAAUGUUGGUCAUACCUAUAUCUGGUUUCACAGUGUAUGUAACGUAUGAUAAUUUGAUAUUGUAAGUGAAUAAAGUAAAAUUGGCAUUUCCUAUCAUAUGAUAAGCUUGAUUGGCAUGUGAUGUGAAUUGGACCACACACAAAUCACACACAAAAUGCCUAUAUCGUCCAUAGGCGGUCCAUCAUUACUGGAAAGAAAUAAAAAAUGAUUAAGUAUGCAAAACAACUUGACGACUUUGAAAAUGAUAUUUCAAUGUUUUUUAUACACAAUUUUGUCCGUAACUGGUUUACGUUAUUUGAGAAAAUUAUUUUAGUGAAACAAUGGAUUGCAUUUUUAUUUGCUACUUAGCCAAAAUACAUUCAUCUCUAAAUUACGCGGUUAAUUUGCUUAGUUUGAAAUUUACGAGAUUCAAAAUCAUCUGAUGCACUUAAUAGAUGUGUUAAUUACGAGAUAUCCACACCAGUAUACGAUGUAAAAAACACCACCUUAAUUAAUUAUAAUUAUAUGACGAUAUGUGGACAAAAAAAGGUAAACAUGCACUUCAUAUAAUGCCAAAGGCUACUACGUACGUAACAUCAGAUUGGUUGAGCCUUCCACAUGGGAAUUCUGUAUAUGCCAAAUUUGUAUAAUCUUAGAUAUAGAAAAAAUGGUCUUCUAUAUGUUCGGGUUACAAUAUAAUACUCGUAAAUGGUCCUUACUAGCUCGAAACCCACAUCUCCUAAAACAAACGUUUAUCUUCUUCGUAUUUUAGUUUUUCUAAGAAAAUCAAGUUGAAAGAUUUAUAUAAACAGUAGAUUUUGAUUUUGAUGCAUGCAUAUAGUUCUGACCUCUGUGAGCAAUCGGAAACAAGAUGUGCUGCCACCUGAAACAAACAUUAAUAAUAUAUGAUUAAGUACUCGACGUGACUUAAAGAGAAUCUCAUGAGAUUCGUUUUUUUGGACAACUCUUAUAUUCAGCUUUGGAUCCGAAAUCAAACAUAGCCCUCGUAACCCCACACAAAUGAUAAUAGGAUAACAUGGAUUCCACAAACUUUUUUUUUUUUUUUUUUUUGUCAUCUGGUAAUAUUAAUAAAACAAGGUGAGAUACAACGAAAGCCGGCGGAAGACAAAAAUUUCCCCGGAGUCUAAAAACCCAAACAAGGGAAACAAAAGUCGGCGGAUAACUAGAAAUCCCCGAAGACAAAGCGAAUUCAAGAGAAAAGGAAACAAGCAUAGGAAAUAAACCCGAGAGAAGACGAACCCUUAAACUGAAGACAAAAGCAACAAGGCUAAAACCAUACAAACAAACUAGUCACCAUAGGCUAAAAAAACUCUUCUUCUGAACCACCUGCAGAAGAAAUUUACCAAGGAUGCCCACGGCCAAUCCGAUGAUAACAUCAACCACCUCUUAUCAAGAUGAGAGCCGAUCUCUCGAAACCGUAACCAAAGACUUCAUAACCCGGCAAGCAAGACUCGAAUACGCUUCCGGAUGCGACGACGACGACUGCAGCGUCCCAUAACGUCUAGAUAGAAGUUUUCAAAGCGCAAUCAGAUCUAAACAAAUCUGCAAAGCAAAGACAAGGAGCGUAGCCUAACCUCUCGAACAAAUCGAACUCAACCAAGCACGAUAAUUGAUCAAGAAUGCCAUCAACCACAGCGAACCACACAACUGAGAAGUCUUGUUGCUUAUAAUAUGUUUUGUGCUUAUAAUAAUAUCACUCUUUUUCUAUAUAUGUUUUGUGCUUAUAAUAAUAUCCAGUGAUAUUGUAGAUUCUUUUAAAAAAGAAAAAUUGGUGACGAGUUGAACGGAAGGAACACAUAAACGCAGGCUCAUCAACCAAAAUUCCUUCUUUCAAGAGACAAAAGAAACAUAAAAUUAACCAUGUGCCACUACUUAGAUAUACGAAUAACGUUAACGUUGAUUAUUAGUUAUGCAUAAAAUACGCAACUAGGCAAAUUGACGCAAACAAAAUAACCACAUUUGCUUAACUUGCCUCUAGACUAUCCGAUGACAUAGGAUGAUUUAACUUUUGACUUGGUAUCCGAUUUCAACUUAUCAGACCAUAUAUUUUAAAACCUAUUGUACGUUACGUAUGCUAUAGAUACGUGAAUGAAUAAUUCUUGCUAAAAUUUGAGUGUAUGUGACUUUGUUAGCGGGAACGGAUCUUGUAAUCUCAUUUUCAUAGAAAUAGUGUCAAGAAACGUCAUUUUACACUGUGGAUUACUUCUGUUUUUCCAUCUCACUUGAUAGUGAAAUGAAAUCCAUCUUUUUAAUUUCCUCUCAAUUAUUAAUGGUUUUCCAAAAAUUAUAUAUCCUUUUCACGUUAUCUAACUAUGAGAGUACUGUCCUUGUGUUUGCGAAUAAGUGGUUGAAUAUGGUAAAGUGAAGAAGCUCCCAUCAUGUUGGACCUACUAGCUUUAGCUAUUAAAAUGUCCUGUCAUCACAUAAGGUACACUGAUCAAUUCUGAAUUUGUUAUACGUGCCCAUCAAUAAUUCGACUUUUAUAAUAUUUUACAAAUCCCUUAAUUGUAUAAUCACACUAAAUUCCAAAUCAUCUUUAUAGAAUUUAAUUAGAAAACCAAUCAAAUUAAAUCAAAGCAUAUCGGUGCUAAAUAGUAGUACACAUGCAUUCACAACUAUAUCACAGAUAUACAAACCGUCCUUAUCCGAUGACGAACCACACAAAACAAAACAAAACAAAAAGAUUCAUAAAGAGCUUAGCCAAGGCGACCGAACAGAUGGAACUAAGCUUCAAUUCGAUCUAAGAUACCAAAACGAAUAAACAUGUACUGUGGUUCUCUCUAGCUAAUAUGUGUUGUUAUACAAACUAUUAUGUUUUGUCUAUGGUUACAAUGUUUGUCAUAAUGCUUCUAUCUUUCUUUAUCUUUUUUUUUUUUAAAUGAGCAAAAACACUAUUCUUGUCUAUGAGACUGAUACGUUGAGCCUUUAUAGACAAGAAAUCCACUAAAGUUGAUCAUAUCCUCUGAUAUAAUUUCAAAGCUAGCUACAAUUAAAGUCAAGAGAAUUAACUAAAGUCUUUUUCUUGUCACGUACAGACAGAUAAAAACUGAAUGGUCAGCUAGAAUUGCUCAACGUGGA